rnacentral:pre_miRNA from 13 species
UAACUGGGUUCAAGUAAUCCAGGAUAGGCUUGGUAUCUGUCUCGGCCUAUGCUUGAUUACUUGCACUUGGAG